AGUAGUGGUCAUUGAUGGUUAUAGGAGAAUAUGAAUGUCUUAAAAUGAUAUUUAGCUUUCCAGAUGACCUGCCUUCUUGGCUCCCUUACAGAUUGUGGGCAUGCCUGUGAUGUAAGUUCCUCAUCUGUCUCCUUUCAGACCAUCUUCUGUGAAGUUUAUUCAGCUCAUAAGUGUGAAUAAAAAAUUGCUAAAUGUGAACUCAAAGAGACAGUGCAGUUUUACAUCUGAGUCCACUGAAUGCAUCACAGAAGCAGCAUGUGCAGCAACAGGAGUCCAAUAGCGUCAACCACCAGGAAACAAGGAUCACGGAGCAUGUGAGAAAAUGGUAAUUGAGAAGGCUGAUCAAGGAACACACUAAAAUUGGAGGCAUGAAACACUUGCAGAAUUGUCCCAAUGGUCCAUCUGGGGAUCCUGGGAACAAGUGUCUUUCAAGCCACGACCAGUCUUUCUACUUCUUCCUCAUACUUUGUAUCUGGCUUGUGUACAUGUCACAGAAUCAGGUACUAAAACAAGAGGUGAUACAGAAAUAAGCUAUCCCAAAUAUAGCAUUAAGUGAAACAAACACAUCGUAUACUAGUUAUUAUAUCCGGAAGUUUGCAUUUUAUAUGCCUCAUGGAGAUACUUAGCGAUAUUCAGCAACCUUGCAAAUGGAGUGGUCUCUGCCAGACAGCUACUAACAGCUGUAGAACAAUUUCAGAAGCUGCUUACCCAAGAAGUCUAAUGUGGAAGGACAUGGCUGUCACUGCCUGGGGAAGCAAAUAGGAAAGAAUAUGACAAAGGAGGAAAUCAGCUGUUGGACCAAAGAAUUUAAACUUUGAUAAAAUGCCAACCGUCGAAGACAGUUGCUGUCUCACACAAAAUCCCAAGAACUGUGCAUACUCUACUUCUGUCAGCCUAGCAAUUUGCUCAGCUAUUGCUAUUUUGGGAAGGAAUUUCCACCAAGCUGGCGUAUCUUCAGCCCCUGAGGUUUCCUCUGAUUGACUGAUUAACAGGUGUUGAAAAAGCCUGUUGUAGAAAUAUCACAGACCCAGUGUGCUCGUUUGACUUCUGUAACUGUGACUGUAGUUUCAUUGAAUAUAUUGUUUCUUAAGAAGACUUUCUGCAGGGUAAAAUCAAAACAGAUUAUUUAUAACAUUUUUAGGUAAUUACUUUUCCAUAGAGACAGCAUAUGCAUUUGUUAAUAUGCUUUAUUAUUUAUGAAUUAUAAAUUGAAUAUGGUACUAAUGAUUGUGCAGAUGAAAGCUAAAUUAAUAUAACACAGAGUGAACUUGUCAAAGAAAUGUUGGCAUUAUAAGCCUAAAAAUGCAGUCAGCCCUCCGUGGACUCUACAUUUGGUAAUUCAACCAACAGUGCAUCCAAAAUAUUUUUAAAAAGCCAACAAUACAACAAUGAAACAUAAUACAAAUAAAAACAAUAUAGUAUAACACCUAUUUAUAAAGCAUUUACAUUGUAUUAGGUAUUGUAAGGAAUCUGGAGAUGAUUUAAAGUAUAUGGGAAGAUGUGUCUAGAUUAUAUAAAACACUACACCAUUUUUUUUUAUAAGGAACUUGAGCAUCUGUAGAUUUUGGUAUCUGCAGGGAGUCCUGAAACCAAUCCCUCUUGGAUACUGAGGAACAACUGUAAUCAUAUUUUUCUAAGAGAUAAAAGGAAAUUGAAUGGAAUUAAGGCUAGGUUAUCCAAGUGUACCUGAUUCCUGACAAGCCAAGUCUGAAUGAUGAGCAGGACUUUGAAUUACUUUGACAGAGGUGUACCCUUUAGGAUGCCCACUCAAUCAUCAGUGAAGCAGGCACCCCAGAGCCAGAAGUUUCCAUGGAAGUCUUCACCUACCUUGCCUACCUCCAGUGAGUUGUGAUAGGACCUCUCCUGAACCCACAAAACAGAUCCAAUCAAGUUCCACCUUCCAUUCAUGGACUUUCCCCUCUUCAUUGCCUCACGCAAUGUCAUAGCUGGAAGAGUUGAUCUUGUCUGACCUCCCAAGAGAAGAUGUCUUAUCCAAAAUCACAAAGCUGCCAAAUGUCAGCUGGGCUGAGAAGUGGCUGGUCCUACUCUUCGACUGUCUGGGCCAGCCCAGCCUGGGGAGGUGCUAUCAGUGCGAGGCCCAUAGUCCCUGAAAGCUUCACAGAAAUGGGUGAAGAUGGGGAGAGAGCUUCUCACGUCCUAGUUAAAGACUGGAAUAAUCAUUAACUUUGCUUAGUGUUGCCCAAUAAACAAGCUUAGCAGAUGAGUGAGAAGGCAAGGAAAGAGAAUCAGACUUGGGAUCUAGAAGCUGAGAUGACCUUAGGGACACUAUUCUGCCUCAGGCCACUCUGAGGAAUUGGGAGCUUCUAACUGGGCUGGGUAGGCAGCUAUUACGCACUGGUGUUUAUGUCUGGUAUGAAAAGUGACUGGGGGAGGUGGGGAGAUUUUAAAUCAGUCAAUGAUCAUAGGUGUGGACGGUGAGUAAUAAGGAGAUAAAUGGAAUUCAGUAGCAUAAAGGGUGAAGCCUCGUCCUUUGAGCUUUUCUGAGAAACCCAAGUGGUAUGCAGCUAGAGAGGUGGGGGCUGCGGAUGACAGUGGGUCAGAAAGUUGAUAGGGGGACACUGAUCAAGUAGAAAGCCACGGGGGAUGGAUGAGGACUUCAGUUAUUCCUCUGAAGAAAAAAAGAAGUAGCUUUAUGAGAGUAUAUUAAUUCAGAUCAAGGGAGUGAGCCCAGGCAGAGGUUAUGAGUAAAAAGGGGUGGAGUUUUACCACUGUGAGUCAAGAGUGAAGAGCCUGCUGAAUCAUGUAGGGGUGAGGAUGUUGGUGAUAGGGCAGACCCCUUCCAGGGCAGAAGGCCUGGAAUGCAAUCAGUUCCCCACAGAAAGGACUAAGGUCUACUGUCCCAGCAAUGCAAGUUCACACCUAAAAGCAAGGGUGUAGGAUCAAGUCUCCAAAACCCGAGAGAUCAGCUGCAGUGCAUACCCUGCUCCCUGGCCUGCUCUGGUCCCUGUCCCCAUCAGGGUCACUUCAGAUGGCAGUGCCUGGCUUACCAGCCAUCUGUCUGAAGAAUUAACUCUGAGGCAUUCACUAAACACACUUAGGCCAUCAAACCUCACACCAUAUACCAACAUAAAUUCAGGUGCUAAAUGGAAAAAACAAAACCAAAAAUAACCAUAAUAAAAUACAUGCCUUUU